GAGGAGGACCCGAGCGGCCUGGGAGGCGGGGGCGCCGACUCACCGUGGGGCGGCUUGAAGUGCCCGGAACGCUCGCUCAGGGCUGCUUGCUAGGGCUCCCGUUCCCGCACCCCUUCCCUGCCGGCACCCUCCCCACCGGGCUCCCUCACCAUCAGCCACCCGUUCCUUAAGGGUCCCGCGGUUUUUUAACUUACAGUCACUGGAGGAUCAACAAAAGUUUUGUUCUAAUAUUCAUGCGACGAAGCUCUCAAACCUCGAGGAUCACAAAGACCUUCUCGAAGAUGUCUGCCAUCAACUGUAACCAGGACCUCACUGAUAACACCAGAGUCUCUAUUUCUAACUCCACCCACCAACUGCAAUGACUUUGAAAUAACUGACAUCAGAUCUGACCAAUCCUACAGGACCACAUUGCUGAACCACAAAGGGCUUGGGUGAUGUCACAGCCAAUCAAAGUGAAGCUGGUCGCCUUGCUGAAUGCUCUAGGCUUUAUCCCAGCACUCAUGGGGAAGCUGAUGCCCAAGGCAGUCUCCUGAGGCUGUCACCCAGGCUGUUGAGUUUGAGGCCAGACUAUAUAUAUUACAUCAGCUACAUAUACUCCUUGUCUCAAACACCAAACCAAACCAAGAAAAAAAAAACUAGCAAACAUAAACACUCUCAGCACAAUGUGAUAAUUUGAGAUAUUCCCCAAAUCACUCCAACAGGAGAGGUCACUAAGCUGUUCUGUGAUUUUGCAAAGUUCCUAAACUGACAGAUGAGAGGAGGGGUGACCUUUGUUACCUUUGGAAGAGUAAUGGAAGUUUUUACUUCCUGCUAGGUCUCUAUUGAGACAGCACUAGGCCAGAGGUUGGAACUGGAAAUCAGACUCCUUACGGGGUCUACAAAGAGAAGUAAAAUGGAGGAAGACAUAGUUGAGAGUCUCAGACUUCUACAAAUGGGAGUCUAGGGACCGCCAGCUCAUUUACUACUGGAGCAUGUAAAAAUUUCCCAUGGCAUUUGGCUAGAGUAUAUCAGCUCUGAAUUUCUCAGUGUUACUAGCAUACUUCUUGUCUAGUCCUUUGUCUACAAAAAGUAGAAUUUUCUCAAAGUUUUAUCUGUGCCUUUAGAAGUUCAUAACCACCCUUUUAAUGCUUGAGAAUGUGAUACAUGAUCUCAUUGCUUGAAUAAUGGAAACCAAUUGCAAUACAGUAACAGAAUUGUAAGCAGAAGUGGUGGUGGUUAUAUCAAUGUGCUCACCCUAAUUGAAUCUUUUCAGCAUGUUUGAAAUGCUUUAUAAUAAAUGUUAGAAGAGAAAACAAAAGGAAGAUUAAUGCCUUAACAUUGUCAGGCAUCAGACUUGAUACCUCAACUUGAACCAUAGUAAAGAACAAAAAAUAAGGCUGGGCAUGUUGGUGCAUCUUUAAUCCCAGCACCCAGGAGGAAGAGGCAGGUAGAUCUCUGAGUCUGAGGCCAGCCUGCUCUACAGAGCAAGUUCCAGGACAGCCAAGGCUAUACAGAGAAUCCUGUCUUGAAAAUCCAAAAAAUAAAAAGCAUAAAUGUUUUCCUUAUAACUUAAAAAAUAAAGUGGAGGGGGAUAAGGAAAGGAUUGCGGGAGGGGGUGACGGGGGGGGCAGUGAGUGGGAUGUAAAGUGAAUGAGUAAAAAAUAAAAUAAAAAUUUAAAAAUGGGAGAUAUUUUAUAAAAGUCAAACAUACACACACACACGAUUUAUAUUUAUUUAUUUUAUACUUUAAAGUGGGGGGGAGAAAGUCAUGAGAGCCUGUUGAUCUCAUGUCUAACUUGUAGCUCACAUCUAACUUGUUGAGACUUUUUCAAGUGUCAGGGCCCCAAUUUGAAUAAGCUUAAGUAAAAAAUGAAGUUGACUGGUUUCUAUAUCAGACAGGGCAAACCUCAAUCCCAGCUAGAGCCAGGAACUCAAGUACUGUCUUAUUUCUCACCUUCUCUCUUUCUCUCAUCUCAGUUUCUUUCUCUACAGCUUUAUUCUCUAGGAGUCCUUUAUGGUAGCUGCAACUGAGUUUCUAGCAGCCUUUAAGUCUCAACUUUACAGAUCAGAAGCUGAAGAAAAAAGCUGGUGCGGUUAUGUAUGCCGGAGUGUGGGGAGCAAACAAAGGAGGAGCUGCAGUUCAAGGACAGCCUUGGCUACACAGGGGAACUACACAAUACCUCCUUUCAAAAACGAACAAAAGAAAAUCAAACACGGGAAAAGGACUUCUCUGUUCUGAUUUAGAAAAAUACAAAGUUGUAUCUCUAGUCUGGGUCUCAUCUCCAUCCCUUGAAGUUGCUACUAGAUCUAACAGCAUUUUGUUUGUUCAUUUUUUGGUUUGGUUUGGUUUGGUUAGGUUUGGUUUUUGGUUUUUAGAGACUCAGUUUCUCUGUGUGGCCCUGGAUGUCCUGCAACUAGCUCCGUAGACCAGGCUAGUCUCAAACUCGGAGAUCUACCUACCUCUGCCUCCGGUGUACUGGGACUAAUGGUAUGUACCGCCAUGCCAUUACAGCCCAGCGUGCCUAGCAGCAUUUAAUAUUGUGUUUAAUACUGUGCCUAGUCCAUCCUGGGAUAGCUGCCUUGCUGUGAGGUGUAGGGUGAGGAAAUUAACUACCUGACCAGAUUUUGAACUAUAACUUUAAAAAAAAUUAAAAUGCACUUAUUAAGAUUUUGAAUGCAGACUGGAGAGAUGGCUCAGUGGUUAAGAGCACUGACUGCUCUUCCAGAGGUCCUGAGUUCAAAUCCCAGCAACCACAUGGUGGCUCACAACCAUCUGUAAUGGGAUCUGAUGCCCUCUUCUGGUGUGUCUGAAGACAGCUACAGUGUAUUUAAAAAAGAUUAUGAAUGCAUAUAAUAUCACUGCAAAUAAGUACCUGUUCCUUUCUUAUCCUUUUAUUAUUAUUGUUGCUGUUUAUUUAUAGACCUGUUCUAUGUAGCUUUAGCUGUCCUGGACUGUGAAUCAUAGGACCAGGCUGGAUUUGAAUUCACAUGGAUUUACCUGCCUCUGCCUUCUGAGUGCUGGCAUCAAAGUGUGCACCACUGUGCCUGGAUUCUUCAUUUUUUUUUUAAAGAUUUAUUUAUUUAUUAUAUAUAAGUACACUGUAACUCACUCUAUAGACCAAGCUGGCCUCAAACUCACUGAGAUCUACUGGGCUCUACAUCCCAAGUUCUAGGCCCCCUGAGUAUUUUAUGUAUAUUUUUCCAGCAAAAGAAGUUUAUUACUUAUAAAAACUGAGCCAGAGACAUUUGAAUGCUCAUCAUACAGCUGGUCUUGUUCAAAUUAAUUGAACAGUAUUAUCAUUUGUUCAUUUCUUCGUGUUAUUUAUCAAAAGUUUGAAAAUAGACUAAAAAACAAAUAAGUGAAUAUUAGAGAAGGGUUCAUGAAGUUUCUUUCAUCUUUCCCUGUGUAGCCAUUGACAUUCAAUGUGUACUGGAAGGGAGAUGUUCUUCAGUGCUAUAGCCAUUUGGAAGUAGCUCAUGCUCCUGUGAAUAACCUAUCACCCAUGCCCUUGUAAGCAAUCCUAAUUAAACUUCUUAGGUCUGAGUCAUAAAAAAGACAUAAGGCUGGGCAUAGUUGCACAUAUCUUUAAUCCCACCAUCUAGGAGAAAGAGGACAAGUCAGGCAGAUCUCUCUGAGUUUGAGGACACCCUGAUCUAUAUUGUGAGUUCCAGGACAGCCAAAGCUACAUAGUGAGAUCCUGUCUCAAAAACAAAACAAAACAAAGCCAACCAGCCAAACAAACAAAAAAAAGACAUGAAUAUGGAAGAGGGAAUGGUUAGUUGAAAAGACAAAGGGGAUCAGUAGGAAUGGGAAGGAAAGAAGAGAUAAGGAAGUGAACACAAAGUAAUAUAUAUAUAUAUAUAUAUUAUUAAUGUAUGAAGAUACCAUAGAAACUAUUAAUAUUUUAUUAUCAAUUACUUUUC